UUUAACUGAGCGUUCAGUUACUUGACGUAGACCCGAAACCGGGCGACCUACCCAUGAGCAGGAUGAAGCGAAAGUAAAAUUUCGUGGAGGUCCGAACCCACGAGCGUUGAAAAGCUCGGGGAUGACUUGUGGGUAGCGGUGAAAUUCCAAUCGAGCCCGGAGAUAGCUGGUUCUCCCCGAAAUAGCUUUAGGGCUAGCCUCAAGGUGAGAGAUACGGAGGUAGAGCACUGAAUGUCCUAGGGGGUAUUGCACCUACCGAAGACUAUCAAACUCCGAAUGCCGUCAUCUUAUACUUGGGAGUCAGACUGUGGGUGAUAAGAUUCAUAGUCGAAAGGGCAACAGCCCAGAUCGUCAGCUAAGGUCCCUAAAUGUAAGUUAAGUGGUAAAGGAUGUGGGAUUGCACAGACAACCAGGAUGUUGGCUUAGAAGCAGCCACUCAUUCAAAGAGUGCGUAAUAGCUCACUGGUCGAGUGAUCCUGCGCCGAAGAUUUCCGGGGCUAAAACUUACUACCGAAGCUACGGCAUCAGUAAUGAUGGGUAGGGGAGCUUCCCAUACGGGUUGAAGCAUGACCGUAAGGACAUGUGGACAGUAUGGGAGUGAGAAUGUUGGCAUGAGUAGCGAGAUGUGGGUGAGAAUCCCACAGGCCGUAAACCCAAGGUUUCCAGGGGAAGGUUCGUCCGCCCUGGGUUAGUCGGGACCUAAGCUGAGGCCGAAAGGCGUAGGUG
rnacentral:rRNA from 1 species